AGCUUUGCGCAGUGGCAGUAUCGUAGCCAAUGAGGUUUAUCCGAGGCGCGAUUAUUGCUAAUUAAAAUGCAACCCUAGACCUCC
rnacentral:snRNA from 1 species